rnacentral:rRNA from 1 species
GACGAAGGUGGCGAGCAUUGUUCGGAAUCACUGAGCAUAAAGCGCACGUAGGUGGCGGCGUAAGUCGGAUGUGAAAUCCCUCAGCCUAACCAAGGAACUGCGCCCGAUACUGCGUUGCUUGAGGGUCAAAGGGGUGCAUGGAAUUCCCGAUAAAGCGGUGAAAUGCGUUGAUAUCGGGAGGAACGCCGGCGGCGAAAGCGGUGCACUGAUUGACUUCUGACACUCAUGUGCGAAAGCCAGGGGAGCAAACGGG